CCAAGGGGAGCCCCGCUAGGGGGCUGAGACACCGCCGGCCCUUCGGAAGGCGACGCGGUGAACCCUUCGAACCUGAUCCGGGUCAUGCCGGCGCAGGGAUGGGCA
rnacentral:ncRNA from 1 species